rnacentral:rRNA from 1 species
CACAGCCGCGGUAAUUCCAGCUCCAAUAGUGUAUAUUAAAGUUGUUGCGGUUAAAAAGCUCGUAGUUGAAUUUCGGGGUCAGUAGGUUGGUCGUGCCACUGGUAUGCACUGGUCUCACUGAUUCCUCCUUCCUGAUGAACCGUAAUGCCAUUAAUUUGGUGUUGCGGGGAAUCUGGACUGUUACUUUGAAAAAAUUAGAGUGUUUAAAGCAGGCUAACGCUUAAAUACAUUAGCAUGGGAUAAUGAAAUAGGACGAUCGAUCCUAUUUUGUUGGUUUCUAGGAUUGACGUAAUGAUUAAUAGGGAUAGUUGGGGGCAUUAGUAUUCAAUUGUCAGAGGUGAAAUUCUUGGAUUUAUUGAAGACUAACUACUGCGAAAGCAUUUGCCAAGGAUGUUUUCAUUAAUCAAGAACGAAAGUUAGGGGAUCGAAGACGAUCAGAUACCGUCGUAGUCUUAACCAUAAACUAUAGCCGACUAGGGAUCGGAUGAUGUUAAUUUUUAAUGACUCAUUCGGCGCCUUA